AAAAAAAAUUGUCAGGUGUCAGUUGUCAAAAAAAAAAAGUCAGGUAUCAGACAAAAAAUUGUCAGGUGUCAGAAAAAAAGUUGUCAGGUGUCAGAAAAAAAGUUGUCAGGUGUCAGAAAAAAAAUUGUCAGGUGUCAGAAAAAAAGUUGUCAGGUGUCAGAAAAAAAAUUGUCAGGUGUCAGAAAAAAAGUUGUCAGGUGUCAGAAAAAAAAUUGUCAGGUGUCAGAAAAAAAAUUGUCAGGUGUUAGAAAAAAAAUUGUCAGGUGUCAGAAAAAAAGUUGUCAGGUGUCAGAACACAAGGUACCAGAGAGAAAAUCUUCCUGCAGGUGGCGCUGUUGUCAUGUCCCACCCGAAUUGAUUUCCAAAUACGUCAUCAACGUGUGACCGUGGGAGAGCGUAAGGUCAUUGACCUCACCGGAGUUUUACCGUGGUUCAGGCUCCUAACGACACAAGGUAAGUUUAACUUUUUCUCCCUUUUGUUCAUAUUUUUGCCAC
ensembl:lncRNA